AUGAAGUUGGAAUCGCUAGUAAUCGCGGAUCAGCAUGCCGCGGUGAAUACGUUCCCGGGCCUUGUACACACCGCCCGUCACACCAUGGGAGUUGGUAUUACCCGACGACGCUGCGCUAACCUUCGGGAGGCAAGCGGCCACGGUAGGAUCAGCGACUGGGGUGAAGUCGUAACAAGGUAGCCGUAGGGGAACCUGCGGCUGGAUCACCUCCUUU
rnacentral:rRNA from 1 species